rnacentral:rRNA from 1 species
CUUGGUCAUUUAGAGGAAGUAAAAGUCGUAACAAGGUUUCCGUUGGUGAACCAGCGGAAGGAUCAUUACAGAGUUCAUGCCCUUACGGGUAGAUCUCCCACCCUUGAAUAACUUACAUUGUUGCUUUGGCGGACGCUUCGGCAGCCGCCAGAGAACCCUAAACUCUUGUUUACAGUGUCGUCUGAGUACUAUAUAAUAGUUAAAACUUUCAACAACGGAUCUCUUGGUUCUGGCAUCGAUGAAGAACGCAGCGAAAUGCGAUAAGUAAUGUGAAUUGCAGAAUUCAGUGAAUCAUCGAAUCUUUGAACGCACAUUGCGCCCCCUGGUAUUCCGGGGGGCAUGCCUGUUCGAGCGUCAUUUCACCACUCAAGCCUCGCUUGGUAUUGGGCAACGCGGUCCGCCGCGUGCCUCAAAUCGUCCGGCUGGGUCUUCUGUCCCCUAAGCGUUGUGGAAACUAUUCGCUAAAGGGUGUUCGGGAGGCUACGCCGUAAAACAACCCCAUUUCUAAGGUUGACCUCGGAUCAGGUAGGGAUACCCGCUGAACUUAAGCAUAUCAAUAAGCGGAGGA